GCCUGAUUCUCUCUCUCUGGUUUGCCUGCUCCCCUCCCUGACUUCUUGUUGUAUCGAGAUGCGCGAACGAACCAGCGCUCCAGCCAUCAGCACUGCGCCCCUAGGGAGAUGGAGAUGCGUGGGAUAGAUUCUGGUGGUGCGUAGGCAACGCCUUAUCUUCCUCUGCACCACAGGACCAGCAGAUCCAUCUUCCACAGCGACGGCGGCAGGGCGGUGCUGGUUCUUUUUUUAGCGCUAUAGCGACGCCUUCCCCUCCUACUCCCCUUCUCUUAUCCUCAGUCUCCGCUCUCCACCUGCCCGCCAACACCACUCCAGUCGCCCCCUCCGCGUGUGCGCUGCUCCUUUUGUCCGCUAAUUUGGCCCAUCCAUAUGUUCUUGGAGCAACCAAUCUAUUACCGGGGGAAAAGGUGAAGAACGGCACUAUUAAUUCCCUUGUACGGAGUAUGUUUUUAGGACCCUUUAUUUAUGUUUUUCUCGACAUAUGGAUUUAUGGUCUACUAUGUUGCCCCUUCUCAUCUGGUAUUGUCUCCGAUGGUACCGCAACAUCUGAACCCGUCAGUACAAUUAGCUUGGCUAUUUAUAUUGUUUGGAGAUGAAUCCAAAAAUAUGAUCCCACGUGUACACUUAGCAAUUGGUUAUACUAACUGUGCAUCGUUCUACAAUGAUAAAUUUUCUAAGAUAAACUUUCUAAGUUCACGAUCAGAUGCUGGGACUGUUUAUGUUGUCUUGGUCGCCAUUUUCUGUGUGUCACGUGCACACGCGUAUAUAAUUUGAGAUGCAUUGCAAACUGACCUUAAUAUUUUGUCGCACAAUUUUGAACUCCUCCAUCUCCACAUUUCUUAUAAUCAUUUUUCAGAUUCUUGCAGUCCAUUUACUUCUAAAAAGGUGUAGUCCUCAUAAUGCAUGUCUUUGGUCAAUAUAGACAGCUGCCUCAACCAGACCAGACAAGUUUUUUGAGCCUAUAUAUUGUUUGACUACAAAUUUGCUUCCAUGAAUGACAACUAUGCCAAUGUCAAGAUCUGCUCUAAAUGGCAUAGAUAAUAACGGUAUUUUUCAACCUUGGUCAGCAGCAUGUCACCAGUAGCACUUAAGCUUAUUAUUCGGGGAUUGCAGACCUAGAAACGUCUAUUUUGCUACCAUCAGUAUCCAUGUAACUAAGUUACUCCUCCACUGGUGCUUUUACUGAAACAAUAUUUUAGUCGAUGUUACUAAUGUGUUGUUGAGUAGC